rnacentral:rRNA from 1 species
AAUAUAUUUUUAUAAAAAUAAAUAUUAUAUUAGAUCAUAACAAUUAUAAACACAAACUGAAAAGGAAAAUUAAAUUUUAAUAAAGAAUAUUCAUUUUCCUUUAGUAUCAGGAAUAAAUUAAUAUUAAUAUAACACUUAUUCUCGAAAAAAAAUGAAUUAUUAUUAUUUUACUAUAUUUUUUAUAUAAAAUAAAUUUAAUUAAUAAUAGUUAUUAAACAUACACGAAUUUUUUUAUAUCUAGUUUUUCAAAAAUAUAAUAAUUACUUAAUUAUAAUAAUUUAAAUUAUUAUAAAUAUUUUAUAUAAGUUCAACUUAAUUAGAACUAACAGUAUUCACAUAGUUUAAAAACCAAACUAAACCUUUAACAAAUUUUUCAAUUGAAAUAAACUUAUCAUCAUAAUAAUAAUAUUUAUAUAAAUAAAUAAUAAAUUUAAUUUUAUUAACUCAUCUAAAAUUGAAUGACUGUUUAUCAAAAACAUUUUUAAUAGAAAUUAUUAUUAAUAAAAUCUGCUCAAUGAAAAUUAAAUAGCCGCAAAGUUAUUCUUUGUGCUAAGGUAGCGAAAUCAUUUGUCUUUUAAAUAAAGACCAGAAUAAAAGAUAUUACAUUUCAAUUAUUUUAUUAAAUUUUAAAAUUUAAAAUUUUCUUAAAUGUAAAAAGACAUUUAUUUCAAAAAAAGACAAUAAGACCCUAUUGAAUUUUAUUAUAAUUUAACUGGGGCAGUUAAUUAAAUAUUAUUUUAAUAAUUAUUUUUAAACUUUAAUCUAAUUUAAUUAAAUAGAUCAAAUUACCUUAGGGAUAACAGCAUAAUAAAAUUUCAAAGAUCUUAUAAAAAAUUUAGAUUAUGACCUCGAUGUUGAAUUAAUAACCUAAAUUAAGCAAAAGUAUUAAUAGGAAGUCUGUUCGACUUUUAAAUAAUUACAUGAUUUGAGUUCAGACCGGUGUAAGCCAGGUCGGUUUAUAUCUUUUAUAAUCUUUCUUGUAGUACGAAAGGACCUAAGAA